rnacentral:rRNA from 1 species
UACGUAGGGGGGCUAGCGUUGUCCGGAAUCAUUGGGCGUAAAGAGCGUGUAGGCGGCCCGGUAAGUCCGCUGUGAAAGUCGGGGGCUCAACCCUCGAAUGCCGGUGGAUACUGUCGGGCUAGAGUGCGGAAGAGGAAAGUGGAAUUCCACGUGUAGCGGUGAAAUGCGUAGAGAUGUGGAGGAACACCAGUGGCGAAGGCGACUUUCUGGUCUGUAACUGACGCUGAGGCGCGAAAGCGUGGGGAGCAAACAGG